rnacentral:rRNA from 1 species
AUGAACGCUAGCUACAGGCUUAACACAUGCAAGUCGAGGGGCAUCAGGAAGAAAGCUUGCUUUCUUUGCUGGCGACCGGCGCACGGGUGAGUAACACGUAUCCAACCUGCCCUUUACUCGGGGAUAGCCUUUCGAAAGAAAGAUUAAUACCCGAUAGCAUAAUGAUUCCGCAUGGUUUCAUUAUUAAAGGAUUCCGGUAAAGGAUGGGGAUGCGUUCCAUUAGGUUGUUGGUGAGGUAACGGCU